ACUAACAAGGAUUCCCCUAGUAACGGCGAGUGAAGCGGGAAGAGCUCAAGCUUAAAAUCUCCGUGCAAGUUUUGUGCGGCGAAUUGUAGUCUAUAGAAGCGUGGUCAGCAUGGGCACUUGGGGCAAGUUCCUUGGAAGAGGACAGCAUGGAGGGUGAUACUCCCGUUCAUUUCUGAGUUGCUCGUGCGUACGACCCGUUUUCUUUGAGUCGCGUUGUUUGGGAAUGCAGCGCAAAGUAGGUGGUAAAUUCCAUCUAAAGCUAAAUAUUGGUGCGAGACCGAUAGCGAACAAGUACCGUGAGGGAAAGAUGAAAAGAACUUUGAAAAGAGAGUUAAAGAGUACCUGAAACUGCUGAAAGGGAACCGAAUCGUUUCCAGUGUCUAUAAUCCGUGGUAUAUUUCAUUGGCGAGUGUGUGCGUGCGUGUGCUGUGGCAGCGGCUUUUUUGGCUGCGCUCGGCGUGUGUGCUGUGUGUGCUUGCUGGUGCUCUGUGCUGCGGUGGGACGUCAAGGUCAGUUCGUAUGCUGCGGGAAAUGGCUGCCGAGGAGGUAGGGCUUACGCUUGCGUUUGUCUGUUAUAUCUUGGUGGACGAGUAGUCGCGGUUGGGACUGAGGUGCCUACAACGUGCUUUUGAGUGGGUUUGUGUCUCCGUGUGCGCCGUGUGCGGAUAGCUUGCUAUGCGUGUGUGGUUGUGUGUGGAUUGAUGCGAGCUUUAACUUGUUGCCGUUCGGGACGUUGACGAAAUGGAGCGAUUCGACCCGUCUUGAAACACGGACCAAGGAGUCUAACAUGUGUGCAAGUGUUAGGGUGUGGAAACCCCAGCGCGAAAUGAAAGUGAAGGGCAGCGUAAGUUGUCUGAGGUAGGAAAUGCUGCGGGCUUCGGUCUGCGGUGUGGCACUAUCGACCGAUCAUGAACCUUCGUGGUGAAAGAUUUGAGUUUGAGCACAUAUGUUGGUACCCGAAAGAUGGUGAACUAUGCCUGAGUAGGGUGAAGCCAGGGGAAACUCUGGUGGAAGCUCGUAGCGAUUCUGACGUGCAAAUCGAUCGUCAAACUUGGGUAUAGGGGCGAAAGACUAAUCGAACCAUCAAGGC
rnacentral:rRNA from 1 species